UAUAAAUUUUAUGAUUUAAAAAAUUUAUUUUAAAUUUAUUUUACAUAUAAAUUUUAGUAUGAAUUUUAUAUUAUUUUAAUAAUAUUAUAAAAUUAAAGUAGUAAUUAAUAUUAAAAAUUUAAGAAAUUAAGAUUUAGUAAUAUUUAUAAAUUAUAAACAAAUUUUGUGCCAGCAGUUGCGGUUAUACAAAAUAUAAUUUAAAUUGUGUUAGUAAUUAAUUAAUAUAAAUUUAAUAAAAUUAAAUAUAAGAUUAUUAAGUGAAAUUUUAAUUUAUAAAAAUUUUAAAUUAUAUUAUGUUUUGAAAAAUUUUAUAAAAAACUAGGAUUAGAUACCCUAUUAUUAAAAAUUAAAUUAAAAUACUAAAAUAGUAAUUAAUAAUUUAUUGAAACUUAAAUAAAUUGGCGGUAUUUUAGUUCAUUUAGAGGAAUCUGUUUAAUAAUUGAUAAUCCACGAAUAAAUUUACUUAAUAUAUAAUUUUGUAUAUCGUUGUUAAAAAAAUAUUUUUUAAUAAUAAUAAUAUUUUAAAAUUUUAAUAAAAAUUAGUUCAGAUCAAGAUGCAGAUAAUUAUUAAGAAUAUAAUGGAUUACAAUAAUAUAAUAAUUAAAUGAAUAAUAAUUUGUAAAAAUUAUUUGAAGGUGGAUUUAAAUGUAAUUUUAUUAAUUUUAUUAAAAUGAUUAUAAAUUAAAAUAUGUACAUAUUGCCCGUCGCUUUCAUUAAUAAAUUGAAAUAAGUCGUAACAAAGUAGAGGUACUGGAAAGUGUUUCUAGAAAGAA
rnacentral:ncRNA from 1 species